GCCCGCCUAGCUCAAUCGGAUAGAGCGUCAGACUCUUAAGUUUGUUGGUUGGGCAUCUGAAGGCUGCGAGUUCGACCCUCGCGGUGGGCU